UUUUUUUUUUUUUGCUUUAGUGAGCACUGGUGAGAUGUGCAGCUCUGACUAGGGAGUAAAUCCACUCAACAUGUAGCCUUCAGCUGGCAAAUGCGCAUAGUCUGAGUAUGAAGGAACUCUGGGAGGGGUCCCAGUCACGUCUCUGUCCUGCAAUCAGCUGGAGGAGCCUCACUGCAUCCACAGUGACUUUUUGCAGGCUCUCACUGCCACAGCUGUCGUGUUUGGGUUUUUUUUUUUUUUAUGUUUAAGGGUGCUGUGAAUAUUGUCAUGCAAAUGUCUGAUUUUCUGUAUGAUCAGUGGGCAAAAACCAACUGAAGCCCAGCUGAGGCCACGUCCAGGAGGUGAUGUGAAACUCCCCUAAUGGCAGCACUGCAGGGCUGGAAGCCGCCAGCCUUUGCCCACAUGUUGGUGAUACUGGUAGAAAGCAGCAGGACUGGCACUGGUAGCAUUGAGUAGCUCUGCUUUCCUUGAGAGUGAUCCAGCUUCAGCACAGCCUGUGUUGAUUCCCCCUAGGAAGCAAGGAUCUCCCUGAGGAAGACCUUCCAAAAGAAGCUCAGUCUCUGCAGCCAGAUAUUACACAGAGCUUGGCAGCUUGCAACACAAAGCCUUUGAAAGCUUUUAUUUUCCCACCCUCUGCCCUGCUGCCACAUGCACUUCAUGCUUAGGACCCCAGAGAGGAAUCGGGGAAGGAAAACAGUUUGACUAGGAAAUCUUUCCAACGUCAACAUCCUCCAUCCUGGGGCCUUACUUUCCGGGAAAAGAUAUGCUUUGUGUGCACAUGUUUGUGUGGACUGAGCUUAAAGGCAAAGACCCCUCUUGUGGGUUAAAAAAAAAAUAGUUAAAAUGCAUUCCGCAGACUAAACAGAUAAAGAUCCCUCAGUGCUCUAAGGAUGUAUUUAGCAACAGUUCCUGCUUCCGUCACCAGUGUAAAGAUUGUUCAAAGAUGAGGACAUUUCAAUGCACAAGGAAGCCCUGGGGCCAUUGGAUCCUGUCCUGUAUCAGGAUCUGUCUCCAUCAACACUGUGGGCAGCUGCUCCAGUCCACAGGAAAGCUGUGGUCCAUGGUUUAGGGACACCUGGGCUAUUCAAACUUCAAGCACCUGGGCUAGGACACCCAUGGCUACUGUUUUUAUGGCCUCACCUUUAAUUUCUACUGGAGCGGCAGAAAGCUAGCUUAAUAAGCUGCUGUGAUUUCUCAUGUAGCCAGUCCUGCUAGGGCAGUAAUAGGAAACUGAACCAGUGCCUCAAGGCUGAGAGUCAAACCAGUAGCAGUUGGUCCCAAAGAGCAAUCGAGCAGGAUUUGCUGAACUGCACAGCUUAGUUCCAGCAGUGGUUAGGAAUUCCACAGCAUCAUUUUCUCUACUAUGCCUCAUCUCUUCUCAAUGCCAAGGCUGUAGAAGAGUAAUCCUUGAAGCCAAGUUACCUAACCUCUGCUUCCUUUACAGACACAAAUACUUUCUCAGAACAGAAUCCAUAUGAAUGGGACAUUUCUGGCUGCCAUGUUGAAAUAUUGCUACUUCUAUAGGAAUAUUGCUAAUUCUGAAAGGCAGGA
ensembl:lncRNA